GGAGUUAGCCGGUGCUUCUUCUGUGAGUGAUGUCCUUCCUGCCGGUUAUUGACCCGCAGGCCUUCUUCCUCACUGAAAGUGCUUUACAACCCGAAGGCCUUCUUCACACACGCGGCAUGGCUGGAUCAGGGUUGCCCCCCAUUGUCCAAUAUUCCCCACUGCUGCCUCCCGUAGGAGUCUGGGCCGUGUCUCAGUCCCAGUGUGGCUGAUCAUCCUCUCAGACCAGCUACGGAUCGUCGCCUUGGUGAGCCGUUACCUCACCAACCAGCUAAUCCGACAUAGGCUCAUCCGAUAGCGCGAGGCCCGAAGGUCCCCCGCUUUCCCCCGUAGGGCGUAUGCGGUAUUAGCCUGGGUUUCCCCAGGUUAUCCCCCACUACCGGGGCAGAUUCCUAUCGCAUUACUCACCCGUCCGCCGCUCGCCACCAGGGAGCAAGCUCCCCGUGCUGCCGCUCGACUUGCAUGUGUUAGGCCUGCCGCCAGCGUUCAAUCUGAGCCAUAAUCAAACUCUGA
rnacentral:rRNA from 1 species